ACAUAGUCCAUUCAGUACCUCAUAUAUGCAGCUCCGUGGCUAAGAGGAAGAAGUAGCUACAAUCCCAGGUUUCUGGGAUAUCCUGCCUCUGGGUCCUGUCCCUCUCUUACUCUCUGGAUGGAAAACCAAGAAUUUUGUGCAAUUUACAACUCUGUUCAGGAUUCAGUAUUCCAUAAGCUGCUUCAUCAGCUGGGGACUCUAAGUGAUCACAAAAAAGUUUCUGUACUGGACAUGAUGGGUACACGCCUUGUGGUCUAUGCAUGGAUGGUACUAAGCCACUGAAAAUCAAAGGUUCUGUUUCAAGACAUCACCAAACUACCUGAACGCAUCCAACACUGGAGUCCGUCAUCUAGCCAUCUCUUCUCUAUCAAAAUAUGGAAGAAUCUUGAAAUGAAGGAGCCAACAGUCUCAGCCUUACAAUUCUGAAAUUGAUUGGCAUCCAAUUAGGAUGAAUUAAUAAGGGACACAGUGUCUCCACCUUAGCUACUUUUCUGCUCACAGUAAGACAUUUCUACCUCCAUUACUUCCUUAUAUCAUUGUUUCCUUUGUUUC